GAAAUGCGAUAAGUAGUGUGAAUUGCAGAAUUCAGUGAAUCAUCGAAUCUUUGAACGCACAUUGCGCCCUUUGGUAUUCCAAAGGGCAUGCCUGUUCGAGCGUCAUUUGUACCCUCAAGCUUUGCUUGGUGUUGGGCGUCUUGUCUCUAGCUUUGCUGGAGACUCGCCUUAAAGUAAUUGGCAGCCGGCCUACUGGUUUCGGAGCGCAGCACAAGUCGCACUCUCUAUCAGCAAAGGUCUAGCAUCCAUUAAGCCUUUUUUCAACUUUUGACCUCGGAUCAGGUAGGGAUACCCGCUGAACUUAAG
rnacentral:misc_RNA from 1 species